UCGGCGCAAGACCGAGGCCAUGAUGGUAUGGAAGGAUUCCAUGCUUAGAUUUAUUUUUUUCUUGAAAAAAAAUCCUACCUGAAGAACUGGCGGGAGAAGUCACAUUAGUACCAGAGGUAAAAUAUAAGGACUAAAUACAAUUUCAAAUUUUCACAAAAAUAUCAUUUAUAUGUUCAGUCGUCAUGAAUCUUUCCCUUAUUGGAGUAUUCUUUUGGCGUGACCACGGGAUGUGGGAGUCCCUGGGCCAGGGAUUGAACCACGCCACAGCCGUGACCUGAGCCACAGCCAUUACAAUGCCAAGUCUUUAAUCUCCAGGCCACCAGGGAACUCCUAAACACUGUAAAAUGAAACCUUAAGUGUAACUCUACUCCCCAAACAUGACGGCCCUUGCGAUCCUCCAGAGGGUGGCAGCUGCUGACACAUUGUGUGGCCGCGGGGCUGGGCGUGAUGGGGGCAUGUGCGCAGGUGUGGAGCACAGAGAAAUCGAAAUGUAAGCGUUGGUGAAGCAUUUUAUUCCGGCUGAAGGGGAAGUGAUUCAGAGCCUUGCGUGGAAUCUGCAGUCACGAUUUAUAAAGGGAGAUUAAAAAAGCAAGAAGCAGUGAAGCCAGGGUUUAUGGAUUCGUAGAUGAGGGGAUAAACUGGAAUAUAAAAUGAGAAACAUUGCAGUCCAAAGUCACAGGCCUGGAUUGGAGUCUUGACUCCAUCAAUAACUCGCUGGUCAGAUAUUUACCCUCUUCCAGCCCCAGUGUCCUUAUUUAAAAAAUGGGUGCAUCCCCCCCGUCUGCCCUGUAACCUCCCUGGACUGGGAUCAAAGGAUGAACGAUAAGAAAGAAAUACUGUUUCAGAGACUGUACACCAGCUUUUAUUUUUUAUUGUAUCAUUUGCAAUAGCAGCUGCGGCGGUUUGGGGGGUCUAUUCGCGUGGGAGUCGGGGGGCCGGAGGCGUGAUGAUUUCGUCUCCACCUAAAGACCUCAGCAUCCCCACAUCAGGUGUUUCCUAAGGAGGUUCACUUGGUGGAGGAGGCGAGCGGAGAACGGUCAACACAGCGGUGAGCAGGUGUCCCUGGGCACUCACCUGAUUGGGGGGCGGGGGCGGGCAGCCCUAUCACGUGUCCCCGGGGCCACGUGAUACGUCGGGGGCGGAGACACUGCACGCGCUGGAGGCCAUGUUCCAGCAGGGAAGCUGCCCUCUGGUCUCCCCUCCGAGGGGACCCCGCUAGUACCGCACGUCGGGAAGGCCAAGGCCAUCCCGGGGCCCACAGGCUGGCCUCAGAGGCGGCGGUCGCGGGAGGAACCUGAGAAAACCAGCUGUCCCAGCCCCUCCUGCCCAGCGGGGGCUCCCCGUCCCGCUGACGGCUGAUGGCGGAGCGUCCUGCGUGGCGCCCCACGGGUGCCCCGGCCGCUGGGGCUCCGGGACUCAGGGCUAAGGAGGAGGGCCGCUGCAGGAGCCGCUGCAGGAGCCGCUGCAAGGGCCCGAAGCCCGCACUCCGAGGCUUACACACUGGUAAACGCUACUUAGCGGCCGCGUGGAGGGCUGUCCGCAAGGUGUUUGUUCCUGCCCCCAGUUCACCGAGCUGCCAACUGGCCUGCAGGCUGGAAGGUGCUUGGGCAACACGCUGGUGACGAUACCCAGGAGCGAUGACCGUCGCAGCUGCGUCCCGGAAGCAGAGUCAGAGAAAAGUUGCUGAACCGCCAGCUGGACCCCUACCUCGAGGCAGCUCGUCCGCCUGUGAGGCAGGAUUUCCGAGGAGCCCACUAGGUGGUGCGUGAGCUGCGGCGAUGGUGACCAGCUGUGCUGGACCAGUCACCGCCCGCCUCCCAGGACCCCCCUCAGGCCAGAGGCCCCCAGCUCACAAGCCGGCCCUGAAUCAUCCCUGUUCCUGGGCCCGUCUCCACGUUCUUCCUCUGGGAAAGCAGGGCCCAGGCUUCUGCUCCCUCUUCAAUACAGCACACAUGAACACUUUGGGAGUGUCGCCUUAAAAAUAAAAAACACAACGUGAGAGUUGAGAGUUAAGUUUUACUUGGGACAGAAUGAGGACUAGAACCUGGGUGGCAGCAUUCAGAGAGACCCGAGAAACUACUCCAAAAAACUGGGACCUCAGUGAGUCCGGACACCAGGCCAAGUGUGGAAAAGAAAGGAAGAAGCAAGAGAGGAGGCAUCCGUUGAUGAACUUCAGAUGCCAAGAUAAAGGAGACUUGCUUUUCGACGAGAUGACACUGGCCCUGCUGGUCGGGCUUCCGGGGAGAGGAGGUCUGAACUGCUUGGCUGCUGUCUACUGACUGAUAAUGGGAUGAAAACAACACACAUCAAACAGUGAGCGGGGCUGUUAACAAGGUAGCCCUUCCUGGGAUCCUGGCGCCUUCAUCCAGUCAGGCCGGUGCCUUGAGCACCCACCCAAAAGUGGCGAGGGGAGUUCCUUGGGACCCUUCAAGUCCUAGCGUGUGGGGGAGAGCCCCCGGCUCCGGGAACGGCAAGCGGCAGGUGACAAAGAAGGCCUGGAGGGGGUAGGAGCAGGAAGAAUUCUCUUCCACCUGUUGGGCGAAAUCUCUGGCAGGCGUUUUCCCCAGAGAGUCGGCUUUGUGGUGAAACCACUCUGGGUGUAUUUUGCAGUGUUGGCCCUUUUCCCUGUCAGAUUCAAGGGCAUCGUUCUCAGAUCUUCUGAGGACCUGGUGAUGCUCCUGGAGGCGGCCGGACCUUCUUCCAAAGUGUACAGCCCAGAGGAAUUUCUUAGAUGCACACCAGUGGUGCUCAGCUGCCAACAUCCAUCGCAGUGAUCACUGCCGUGUUCUGCCAGAGUCUGUGGCCCCGGAGGCGUCUGCUCCAGGGAAAGAUCGCAGCGGGGACUCUGUCCACAGAGAGCUGGAGGAGGGCUGGUUUCCCUGACACGUCGGUUCUCCACUGGACCCAGUAGAAACCACUGAUCUCCAGCAUGUCCAGCUGCGGCUGGUCGUAAAGGAGAAACGUGACGACAUCCACGCUCUCUCCAGGUUGGAGCUGAGUCUGGGAGGCUUUCGGGCUAACUUUUCAUUGUGUUUGCUCGAGUUCAUGGAUGGAAGAGACAGCAGCUGCAGGAUCUGGGCUGCUGACUGCAUAAAAAAGACCCUCUCGGAGGAAGGGCCCUCGGAAAGAAUGGAUGCCUGCAAAUUGCCAGGGUGGUGAGUCCUGGGUCUGCCUGAAGGUAUGUGCAUUAGGCCGCUGAGAAUAAGCUCAUAGUCACGUGUGCAUGGAAAUGACAGGUUAAAGAAGGCAGUGCUAAUCGAGAGAGGUAUGGUACAUGAAAACGCCUUCAAAAAUUAAGGACUCGGCGGACUCCUUAAAUUAGGGAAUAAUGCUGAGUCUUGAGUAAAACCACUAAAGCACAUGUGGGGCUCAAACACCCCACCCAGCGGAUUGUCCUACAAUCACCUCACACACAGAUUGUCCUGCCGUCAACACAGUGGGCGACAGAAGAGGACUUCACUGCCUCGUCUGUCAUCUGAGCCCCAGAAGUUCUGAGGCCCAGCGAGGGGGAGGGGGCUGCUGGCUUGAAGCUGGGCAGCUCCACUGGUCAACUGUGUUGCCUCCUGAACUUCCUGAGCUACUCUGAGCUGUGGUCUUGGAGAUAAUGGUGGGGUGGGGCGGGGCAGGGUGGGGUCAUGAGAGGUCCUGGAAAUUGGGGGUAUGGCCUUUGAACCUGCUUCUCCACUUGGUGUUCAGGAGUCGAAUACUGUGCCUCCCAAACUCUUAAUUCCUGUCUUAAGACCCUUCCUCUGAGAGCUCAGAAGGAUGUGGACAUUGUGCCCUUGCAGUGUGGCUGGGGAGGAGAUGCAAAAAUAGGACUUAGGUAGAGCCGUGGGCUCAUGACCGACAGGACCACAACAAGGAGGCAGCAGCCCAUCUCCGCAGGCAUGCACUACAAACUCCUUCCCCCGGGAGACGUUUUCUGAAACACUCCUGAAAGAGGGCAGUUUAGCCUCAGCUUGAAUAGUUCCUGUUCCAGGGACUGGAGACCCCUUUGCAACAUGGUGCUAAGGUGGGAGCUGUCAGAAGCUCGUGGAGAUUAAAUCUGCCUCAACGGAAGAAAGGAGUGGCUAAGUUUCCUUAGAAGAACCUAGGGCUGGUUGAGGCUGAGGAUCGAGGUUGGUGGUGUGGACUAUUGUGGAAUAAAGUGAUGUCUCGCACUCAUGAUCUCUCACAGCCAUCGCAGAGACGCUCAAGCAGCAGCCAGGGGCUCCGGACCAAGGUGAUAAGGAAUGACCCUGAACUUGGCGAGUGAAGGCUAAAAUAGGAAUGGUGGGCUGGAAAAAGACAAGAAGAGGAUUGUGGGUAUCAGAGUGAAGGCAAAACCGUGCAGCCAAGCUGGCCGGCAGGACAGUCCCGAGCUGGGGACUUGGUAGAAUCUGCCUAAAUCUCUCUGCAGCAGCCCUGAGCCACUGGGGCGUGUCUCCCGCCGAAUUACACAGCCAUGCACUUCGAGCUUCAGGUAAGAAAGAGAAUCCACCCUGUUGAGGCAGGCAUCUGGCAGGUGGAAGAGAGAUUCAUUACUCCCGGAAAUGCAUCCUCUUGUUUCUGUCGACCUGAGGAAAAGGGAAAUGUUUCCUCCUGGAAAUGCAGUCGGGGAGGCCAUUCCAUCACACGUUCAGACCUCUACUUCCCUCCUCAAGAAUUUUUUUCUCCUGUUGGAGAUGUUGCAGAGUCCAUUAACUUGAUCUGGUGCACGUUGUUUUAAGUACUAUUUCUUCCGGCAGUAACUAGAUGGAAAUGCUCCCUUUAAUAUAUUGGAUUUGGGAAACUGUUUUCCCAUCUUCUCCAGCUAAUUGCAUAUAAACAGAAUCCGAAUGUAUGUAGAGUGUAUGUAGAGUGUAUUAUAACAUGUUAAUUAUAGGUAUAAAUAUAAUGUCAAGGGGAUUCAGGGAAAAUAUGCAGUGACUUUCAAAAGGAAAUUCAGAAGCUGUCCGUGGUUGGUUUUUCUGGUGUGUGUGGUGGCUUCUGUGAUGCCCCUUUUCCAAGGCGAGUGACAGCCCGUCCUAGUUGCCUACUGUAGGUAUGUAGUGGAGACGUCCAUAAGGCACUGAGAGCUAAGAUGUAGCUACAGGGUUAGCUCUCUUGGCACACAACCAACGGGAGGAGAGAGCAGGCUGCCUUUCCUUAUUUUUUCAUACACUCUGCAUACAUUCGGAUUCUGUUUAUAUGUCAUUGAGGCACCAUAGAUUUCCUAAGCUAUUUCAAGUGUUGAGCUAUGCUUGUUGUUAUUGGAGCUGUAGCAUCCUAAUAUUCUUUUAUUUUAAAACCGAGAUAUAGUUGACAUACAUUGUUGUGUUAGUUUCAGGUGUACAGCAAAGUGAUUCAG